UAAAAUCCCCAUUUUCUCUCUCCACCUCUCGUUUGCUUUCCCGAAACCCAAAAUCCCUAGAAUCUCUCUCAAUUAAAUUCUCUUCGGAAAUUUUAUUCAGAUCCAGUCCCCGGAACCGUGAAAUCAAUUGGAAUAACACCAUUAGUGAAAUCAGAGGACUGAAAAGGAGCGUGAGACUGGCCUGUGAAAUCAGUCCUCUGUAUUCAUGUCUAUCUCUUAGAAGCCAAUCUUUUCUUCUCUCAUCUCCCCUCUCUCUUCCGCUCCCUCACUUCUCCCCCACUCCCCACCACCGAUUCUCCCCACCCAUCAUCUCCGCUGUCCAAUUCCGCCACCCUCACGCCCUCCCCGCUGUCCAAUUUGAGGGGGACGAAUGUUGAAAAGGUUUUGUUGUGAGUUGUGACUUAGGAGUGAGUGGAUUGAGUUUUGAGGGAGUGAGCGAAUUGCAAAUAAUGUUUACUGGUGGUGGCUCUCGUGUCUCAAAUCACCUACGGCUGCGAGACCGCGACCUCCGCCGCCGCCACCAACCCCAACUUGGUUUUGGGUUCGUCUUUGGCUUUGGAUUGGGUACUCGAAUCGCUGGGCUACGAGUACGACGCUCUCUCAAAUCCUUGUCUGCUCGUAGAAUCUCGUCCUUUCGCUCUAUCAUUCAUUCCAAGUCUCCUCCUGACAUUCCUACACUCUCCCACUGUUUCAGAUACACACACAUGCAAUGUAUGUAAAUAUUUUGUAUGUGGUCAAACCUCUGAUUCCUUUUCUUUUGCAAAGCCAACGAGAAGACAAAUGCGAGCUUCCCUCCGACGUAUUGUCCUCAGUGGCAGGAGGAAUAGUUGCACUGGGAAAAUUUGAUGCCCUUCAUAUUGGUCAUCGAGAGCUUGCUAGUUGAGCCUCAAAGGUCGGACCUCCAUUUUUUUUUAUCAUUUGUUGGAAUGGCAGAAGUACUGGGUUGGGAACCUAGCCCAACAGUAUAAUUUUAGCAAUUUCACCUGCUAAUCAAGAUCUUGUUACAUCUGAUGCAAUUAAAAUCUCUCGUGAAGUGGAUCCAACAGGUGAUACCCUACAUAGCAAGUGAGUACCAGAAAGAUAAAAUAUGGCUAAGAUGGACCCGGCCUAACAAACGUGAUUAUCAAGUUGUUAUUGUUGUUGAUGAUUCCCACAGUAUGUCUGAGAGUUGCUGUGGGGAUGUUGCCAUUGAAGCUCUGGUGACAGUGUGUCGUGCAAUGUCACAACUGGAAAAUACUGGCAACCUUGCUGUUGCAAGCUUUGGAUAGAAAGGCAAAACAUAAGGUUGCUCCAUGACUUUGAUAAGCCCUUUAUUGGAGAUGCUGGAAUUAAGGUCAGGAUUAACUAGUGUCAAGAUUAAGGGUUUCAACAAUAGUACAAUUGAUUUGUCUGCGCAUAAUUGUACCUACAAGGUAUUUCCUCUCCCCCCCCCCCCUCCCUCCCUUUAGUUAUUUUUUUCUUUUUAUACUUCUGCUCAUGGAAAAUAAGAGAACUUUGAAUACAUCACUACCCAAUGACAACCAGUUUAAAAUGUUACACUAUUUGAAAUACAGUGAACUUUAACUCUAAACUUUCAUUUUCAAGGCUGGAGCUACCUCUAAUGAACCCUGAGCUCUUCCUUACAGUGGGCAUCAAUCCACCCCAGGCAUGUUCUAUAUUCCUUACAGUAUUGCUGACUUCAUACUAUUAGUGACAUGUUCAAUAAUUUUAUCAUGCUUACCCUAGUAAUGUUAUCAUGCUAAGAAGUUUUCUUUCUUAUUUUAUUGAAUUGUUCCAGGGUGUUCUUCUCUAUAGACCCCCAGGAACAGGGAAGACAUUGCUAGCCAGAGCAAUUGCAAGCAACAUAGAUGCUAACUUUCUAAAAGUUAGUUAUUCAUGUCUGUGGCUUUUAUACUGAGGUUUUACU